GCCCCCGUAGCUCAGUUGGAUAGAGCCGGAGUUUCCUAAACUCUGUGAGUCGCAGGUUCGAGUCCUGCCGGGGGUA
rnacentral:tRNA from 1 species